GAUGAACGCUGGCGGCGUGCCUAAUACAUGCGAGUCGAGCGAACAGACGAGGAGCUUGCUCCUCUGACGUUAGCGGCGGACGGGUGAGUAACACGUGGAUAACCUACCUAUAAGACUGGGAUAACUUCGGGAAACCGGAGCUAAUACCGGAUAAUAUAUUGAACCGCAUGGUUCAAUAGUGAAAGACGGUUUUGCUGUCACUUAUAGAUGGAUCCGCGCCGCAUUAGCUAGUUGGUAAGGUAACGGCUUACCAAGGCGACGAUGCGUAGCCGACCUGAGAGGGUGAUCGGCCACACUGGACCUGAGACACGGUCCAGACUCCUACGGGAGGCAGCAGUAGGGAAUCUUCCGCAAUGGGCGAAAGCCUGACGGAGCAACGCCGCGUGAGUGAUGAAGGUCUUCGGAUCGUAAAACUCUGUUAUUAGGGAAGAACAAAUGUGUAAGUAACUAUGCACGUCUUGACGGUACCUAAUCAGAAAGCCACGGCUAACUACGUG
rnacentral:rRNA from 1 species